rnacentral:rRNA from 1 species
UACGAGAGGCCCAAACGUUAUUCGGAUUUACUGGGCUUAAAGAGUUCGUAGGCGGCGCGGAAAGUGGGGUGUGAAAGCCCUCGGCCUAACCGAGGAACUGCGCUCCAAACUACCGUGCUCGAGGAAGCUAGAGGUGAGCAGAACUGAUGGUGGAGCGGUGAAAUGCGUUGAUAUCAUCAGGAAUACCGGAGGCGAAGGCGGCUCACUGGGGCUUUUCUGACGCUGAGGAACGAAAGCCAGGGUAGCGAACGGA